rnacentral:rRNA from 1 species
GAUCCUGACUCAGGAUGAACGCUGGCGGCGUGCCUAACACAUGCAAGUCGAACGAAGCUUGACGGAUGAUUUCUUCGGAAUGAAAACCAGAUAUGACUUAGUGGCGGACGGGUGAGUAACACGUGAGCAACCUGCCUUUCAGAGGGGGAUAACGGCUGGAAACGGUCGCUAAUACCGCAUGAUGUGUUCGGAUGGCAUCAUCUGAACAUCAAAGAUUUAUCGCUGAAAGA